AGAACGAACGCUGGCGGCAGGCCUAAUACAUGCAAGUCGAACGCACUCUUCGGAGUGAGUGGCAGACGGGUGAGUAACGCGUGGGAACCUUCCCAAUGGUACGGAAUAACUCCGGGAAACCGGUGCUAAUACCGUAUAAGCCCCUCGGGGGAAAGAUUUAUCGCCAUUGGAUGGGCCCGCGUCGGAUUAGCUAGUUGGUAAGGUAAUGGCUUACCAAGGCUACGAUCCGUAGCUGGUCUGAGAGGAUGAUCAGCCACACUGGGACUGAGACACGGCCCAGACUCCUACGGGAGGCAGCAGUGGGGAAUAUUGGACAAUGGGCGCAAGCCUGAUCCAGCCAUGCCGCGUGGAUGAUGAAGGCCUUAGGGUUGUAAAGUCCUUUCGGCGGGAAGAUAAUGACGGUACCCGCAGAAGAAGCCCCGGCUAACUUCGUGCCAGCAGCCGC
rnacentral:rRNA from 1 species